rnacentral:rRNA from 1 species
GGGGAAUUUUCCGCAAUGGGCGCAAGCCUGACGGAGCAACGCCGCGUGAGGGAUGAAGGCCUCUGGGCUGUAAACCUCUUUUCUCAAGGAAGAAGAUCUGACGGUACUUGAGGAAUAAGCCACGGCUAAUUCCGUGCCAGCAGCCGCGGUAAUACGGAGGAUGCAAGCGUUAUCCGGAAUGAUUGGGCGUAAAGCGUCCGCAGGUGGCAGUGCAAGUCUGCUGUCAAAGACUGGGGCUCAACCCUGGAAAGGCAGUGGAAACUGCACAGCUGGAGUGCGGUAGGGGCAGAGGGAAUUCCCAGUGUAGCGGUGAAAUGCGUAGAGAUUGGGAAGAACCCCGGUGGCGAAAGCGCUCUGCUAGGCCGUAACUGACACUGAGGGACGAAAGCUAGGGGAGCGAAUGGGAUUAGAUACCCCUGUAGUC